rnacentral:rRNA from 1 species
GACGAACGCUGGCGGCGUGCUUAACACAUGCAAGUCGAACGGAAAGGCCCUGCUUUUGUGGGGUGCUCGAGUGGCGAACGGGUGAGUAACACGUGAGUAACCUGCCCUUGACUUUGGGAUAACUUCAGGUAACUGGGGCUAAUACCGGCUAGGAGCUCCUGCUGCAUGGUGGGGGUUGGAAAGUUUCGGCGGUUGGGGAUGGACUCGCGGCUUAUCAGCUUGUUGGUGGGGUAGUGGCUUACCAAGGCUUUGACGGGUAGCCGGCCUGAGAGGGUGACCGGCCACAGUGGGACUGAGAUACGGCCCAGACUCCUACGGGAGGCAGCAGUGGGGAAUAUUGCACAAUGGGCGGAAGCCUGAUGCAGCAACGCCGCGUGCGGGAUGACGGCCUUCGGGUUGUAAACCGCUUUCGCCUGUGACGAAGCGUGAGUGACGGUAAUGGGUAAAGAAGCACCGGCUAACUACGUG